UUGAACGCUGGCGGCAGGCUUAACACAUGCAAGUCGAGCGGCGAGAGGUAGCUUGCUACUGAUCUUAGCGGCGGACGGGUGAGUAAUACUUAGGAAUCUGGCUAUUAGUGGGGGACAACAUUUCGAAAGGGAUGCUAAUACCGCAUACGUCCUACGGGAGAAAGCAGGGGAUCUUCGGACCUUGCGCUAAUAGAUGAGCCUAAGUCGGAUUAGCUAGUUGGUGGGGUAAAGGCCUACCAAGGCGACGAUCUGUAGCUGGUCUGAGAGGAUGAUCCGCCACACUGGGACUGAGACACGGCCCAGACUCCUACGGGAGGCAGCAGUGGGGAAUAUUGGACAAUGGGGGGAACCCUGAUCCAGCCAUGCCGCGUGUGUGAAGAAGGCCUUAUGGUUGUAAAGCCCUUUCGACCGGGAGGAAGGCACCGGCGCGAAUAGCGUUGGUGGUUGACGUAACCUGCAGAAGAAGCACCGGCUAACUCCGU
rnacentral:rRNA from 1 species